rnacentral:lncRNA from 1 species
AACCAACAACACUAAAGAUCAUGCUAAGCACAAUUUCAUCGAUUUCUUUUUGAAUUCUCAAUAGACAACCAUGUGAAAAUUGAAACAACUUACAGCAAUUAAAUACACAUGAAUAUUUUAGCAGUAUAAUCAAGAAGAUCAUAUCAGAUUCUCUAUGGAUCAAGAGGUAGAUAAAAAGCUGGGCAUAUUCCCACUCCUGCAUUUUCUAGCACCUUCUCAAAUGUGAAGCCAAACACAGAAGGAAAGUGACAGAAACCUUAUCACAUCAUUAAAGCGUAGAAAUGAAUAAUACAUCUAGCAGUUGGAUUAAGCUGAACUUGAGACCUGAUGCAUCUUCAAAGAGGGAAAGAAACUGGAGCAGAGGCAAAACUGAGGAGUGCUGCGCUGAAAAGAAGGGGUUAAAAGAAGGGUCAGGAGGGGAUAUUUUUAUUCUGAUGUACCAACAUAGCAUCUACUGUAGGUCCAGCACUGGACUUUGUGGAAGGAGAUGGCCUCCAGUGGGAGAGUGGAAGGUGAACGAGAACACGCAGAUUCUAUCCUCAAGGGGCCUGUGGUUGGCUGAGGAGACAAGACCAAAUACUUUGGACAAUAAAAUAAUCACAUCUGAUGCUAAACUUGAUCUUUCUUGCCAGAAACUAUGUUUGACCCUCUCUUCAGGGCAGGGAAAAGAAACUAACUGGAUCACUUUCACAAAUCAAUAGGGCCACCUGGGUGGCACAGUCAGGUAUGCAUCUGACUCUUGAUUUGAGUUCAGGUCAUGAUCUGAAGGUUAAGAGAUUGAACCCUGCAUCAGGC